ensembl:lncRNA novel transcript
UUUCUCAGGCAGCUGUGAGGUUAAACAACUGUCACUUACCAUUUUCCACACCCACCCUGGCUGAAGACUUUCCCUGAGGAGUUUCUGGAUCAGGUUUGGUAGCCAUUGAUUUAAAAGACAGCGCCCUGGCCUGGGAGCUCAGGGUCUUGGGCUCCUGUCAGGGCUCUGUCAGUGACUUGCUUCAUGACUUUGCUUAUUCCUGAAUGAGGUGAAAUGGGCCAGCAGGUGGGAACUAUACUGGAAAACUGGGCCCUGUGAAGAGUCAGUGACUUUAAGGCUGCCUCUGUCCAUGUGGUGACCUCUGCAAGCUCCAGGUCACAGAAUAAGGAAUGUUUCUCUAUACUAAAGCCCUGGCAUUGAGUUCAGCUGGCUUGUAUUGGGUAAUGUAUGUAUUUCUGGGCUUUCUGGACAUGUAAGGAGAGAAGACCCCACCACAUGGGUGAGAAGGGGAGAUGUGGAUCCCAAAAAGAAAAUCAAAGUGCCCUAAUCAGGCUGAAUGACCAAAACAAGCAGAUGUCCUCCACAGCAGUUAACAAGAAAUGGCCUGAUGGUUGGAAAGGAA